rnacentral:rRNA from 1 species
AAUAUUAGUCAAUGCACUAAAGUGUGAACCAGUUACCUAGAUUCGAUAAAAUCGAUGUAAGAUAAUUGAAUAAUGAUCAUUAUCCUAUUAGUCCUGUCAAAAUUCUGUGCCAGCAGACGCGGUAAUACAGAAAGGGCGACCCAUCGGAAUUUUAAAUUGGUGUAAAGGGUACGUAGCCAGUUAUUUAAUAAUAACUAGAGUCAAAUAGAAGAACUAACAAUACCUAGAGUAGGGCUGAUAUCUUAUAAUACUAGGGGGAGAACCAAUAGCGAAAGCAUAGUUCUAGAUAAUGACUGACGGUAAGGUACGAAGGCUGAGGCAGGAAUAAGGAUUAGAUACCCUAGUACUCUCAGCUGUAAACAAUGCAAAUUAAAGAUAUGUUAUAUUUAGUAUGUCUUGAUGCU